rnacentral:rRNA from 1 species
UACGUAGGGUCCGAGCGUUGUUCGGAAUCACUGGGCGUAAAGCGCACGUAGGCGGACGUGUCAGUCAGGGGUGAAAUCCCGGAGCUCAACUUCGGAACUGCCUUUGAUACAGCACGUCUUGAGUCCGGAAGAGGUGGGUGGAACUGCGAGUGUAGAGGUGAAAUUCGUAGAUAUUCGCAAGAACACCAGUGGCGAAGGCGGCUCACUGGCCCGGUACUGACGCUGAGGUGCGAAAGCGUGGGGAGCAAACAGG